GAUGGAGCUUGAGGUGGAAAGAAAUGCUUUCUUCAGCUCCAGCUAUCACAGUGUCUCAAUGUUCAUUCCUUCUAGAGAAACAGCAGGCCUGCCAUCUUAGAAACAGACAGUAGCCCUUGGUAGUCAUCAAUUCUUCUGGAAGCUUGUUUUUGGAUUUCCUAACCAUCAGAACCACAAGAAGAUGAAUUUCUGUUCUCAAUAAAGUAUCCAGUCUCCAUUAAUUUAUUAUAGCAGCACAAGAUAUGGACUUUAACAUUUGCCCAAAAUGUCACCUAAUGAAUGAGGAUAUUUUUUUCAAAAUAGAUAAAAGGGCUAAAGAGGCACGCUUCGGAUGAGCUGUUCAAUGAUGAAAUUCAGUAACAGGAUAAUGGAAGACGAGAUGGAAAGCACCAUGAGAAGACAGAUGAGGCCUCACAUGGCAGACAAAGCACAGAGGUCUGCCGGGGAUACAAAUGGGAGAAGCUGAGUAACUGGAGUGAGCCAGGGUGAAGAACCAUGAUUCAAGGCAGACAGAUUUGUGGUUCACUUUUCCCGAAUCUGGCCAAUAAGUAAAGAAGAGAUGGUGGCUGAAAAACGGUAAACAG